rnacentral:misc_RNA from 1 species
GAAAUGCGAUAAGUAAUGUGAAUUGCAGAAUUCAGUGAAUCAUCGAAUCUUUGAACGCACCUUGCGCUCUUUGGUAUUCCUUGGAGCAUGUCUGUUUGAGUAUCAUGAAAUCUUCAAAGUAAAUCUUUUGUUAACUCAAUUGGUUUCUACUUUGGUAUUGGAGGUCUUUGCAGCUUCACACCUGCUCCUCUUUGUUCAUUAGCUGGAUCUCAGUGUUAUGCUUGGUUCCACUCGGCGUGAUAAGUUAUCUAUCGCUGAGGACACUGUAAAAGGUGGCCAAGGUAAAUGCAGAUGAACCGCUUCUAAUAGUCCAUUGACUUGGACAAUACUUUUAUGAUCUGAUCUCAAAUCAGGUAGGACUACCCGCUGAACUUAAGC